rnacentral:lncRNA from 1 species
AACAACACCACCAGCCUAAGCCUAAACAGAUCCAAGCUUUCUAUUUUGGCUAAACCAAGACUAUAGCUUGUUCUAUACUGUUGGUGGGUCUGUUUGUUUCCAAAGAUAACUUCACUGCAUUUUCUUUGCUUUUUCCCAAUGGAUGUUUUCUAGCUUCUUUCUUUUGGAGGUUAGUUAGCUUCUUUUCUAGGUUUUUAUUUCUAUUUGGGGUUCUUUUCUGGGUUUAAAUUUGAAACUUAGAUUGCUUUUCUGGAUCUGCUACUUCUUUUAUUUCUUAUUCCAUUCUUCAGGCAUAUAUGUUUGAUUAUGUGUUAAGGCAUGAUACAUUGAGACCUGAUAUAUGUAUAUGUAUGUAUUAUUCACCUCAUUACCUUUGCAAGGAUUAAAGAUUGUUGAAAUUGAUAUUGGAAAUAUAAAUUCUCUAAGUGGGAAUUUGCAGUCAAAUAGGUAGAACGAACACCUGACCAAGGUAUUAAAGAAUGAUUUCUUACAAGUUUUUAAUAACCUGGAAAGACAGGUGAUAAACUGUGUGGUUUAGGACAACUUGCUGUCUGAAACUUGAAAGUUUUCGCCUUUUUUGUUGUUUAAAAUAUACUUUUGAUUUCAAUCAUUUCAUACAGAAUUCCACCAUACAUGUUCAGUUUUUGAUACUAUCUUAUAUCGUUAAUUCGUAGUUAACAUAAUAGUUAAUACAGUACGGUGGAAGUGAGUGAGGCCGUUAUAAUCGAUUUACAGAAUGGAACUGUGCUUCGGUUGGUUCUUAUUUGUGUCUUCGAUUCCUGUGAUUUUUGCUCAAGAUAUUAGUCAUGGAUCAAUUGUAGUUGAUGGAACUAUGACUGUUGCUCAAGAUGUUAGGCACAUACAUAAUUUUUCAUUCACUCUAUGUCAUAUUCAUGUUAGGCACAUACAUACAAUCAUCAUUUUUGAUGCAGUCAGUUGGUUCAAGGAAAUCAAGGAAGUGUAACUGUAGCAUUGCAACAAAUUCAGGCAUUGAUUCUACUAACUUUUUUUUGCUAGUUGGAAAAAGUUCUUUCUGUAUUUGCUGCAACAUUUUGCAAUCAAUCUCUUUCUGUUUCUUGAACUAAUAUAUAUAUAUAAUCCUUGCAAGACAUUAAAGGUGACGUGAAUUUGGGCGGUCCACAGAGAGCCAUGCCCAUGGAUCCCUCAAUUUAUGGACAGGGAAUCAUGCUCUAACAGCUCGUUUUUGGGUCAAGUUAGAAUAGUGAUUUUGAGACCACAAAUCUAAAGUUAAAAUAUUAAUUUUAUUAUUAUAUUAAAUUUUACAGCAUGAUAGAAUUAUUAUGUGAAAGUUUCGUAAAAAAAUUUUACUGUAUGAAUAUUUAAUUCGGUAAAAAGGACUAAAUCACGUAAAGCGUAAAAGUUGUGUUCUAUAAGCUAAAGGUGCCUAAUACCUAUAGAACAUUAAAGUAAAGGUCCUUAAGUGGUAAAUGGGCCAUUUAUGAGUUAGUGGAUGAUAGUGGAGUGGCAUUUGGUGUAAUUACUAAUGUUUUUAAAGCAUAUUUUGGUAAUUAGUUAAUUAAAAAAAAGAAAAAAAACAAUUUUAAGCUUAUUUUCUCAUCUCCUCCACGGAAAUAAAAAAAAAAAUUGUUGAGUUCUGCCUACUUUCUUGGCUGUUCGAAUGGAGAGGGAAGAAGAGGGCUGUUGCAUGUUUAAUUUUUGAGCUCAUUUAGGAGUUGGUUCCUUAAGAAACUGAUCAAUAGUAGGUUCAGCUGCUGUUCGGUAAGUCCCUGCAAUGAAACUUUGAAAAUGUUUCCAUGUUUAUUAUGUGUUUAAUACAUGCAAGUAAAAUGCAGAUUUAAGGAUUGUUAAGCAAAGUUAUAGUAGUUAAAAUACAUGUUAUUUGUUACCAAAAUAAUGAUGUUAGAAGUGAAGAAGAGUAGAUAAAUAAAUGUAUAGUUGGUGUUGAAACCUAUUGUUGAAUUUUGAUAGUUUCAACAUGUAAUUGCUGUAUUUUAUAGUGCAAUAAAUCUUGGUGUAAUUGAUCUGUUGCUGUUCUAAUUAAAGUAAAACGGUGGUUGAUAAAUGUCCUGUUUUGUGGUAAUAAACAAAAUAUAAAGAUGGUUGAAAUUGACAUGCAUUACUGUUCGAUUUAUGUUUGAAAAGUUAUUAAAUUUUGGAGCUUAAAACAGUUUAAAUUAGGAGUUACAUUUCCAAAUUUCAGUUUUAGUAAUGUCCCAUUAUUAUUGGUUGAAGCUAAGGAACCAAGCAUUUGUUGAAAGGAUGUAGC